AUUGAACGCUGGCGGCAGGCCUAACACAUGCAAGUCGAAUGGUAACAGGAAACAGCUUGCUGUUUCGCUGACGAGUGGCGGACGGGUGAGUAAUGUCUGGGAAACUGCCUGAUGGAGGGGGAUAACUACUGGAAACGGUAGCUAAUACCGCAUAACGUCGCAAGACCAAAGAGGGGGACCUUCGGGCCUCUUGCCAUCAGAUGUGCCCAGAUGGGAUUAGCUAGUAGGUGGGGUAACGGCUCACCUAGGCGACGAUCCCUAGCUGGUCUGAGAGGAUGACCAGCCACACUGGAACUGAUACACGGUCCAGACUCCUACGGGAGGCAGCAGUGGGGAAUAUUGCACAAUGGGCGCAAGCCUGAUGCAGCCAUGCCGCGUGUAUGAAGAAGGCCUUCGGGUUGUAAAGUACUUUCAGCGGGGAGGAAGGGAGUAAAGUUAAUACCUUUGCUCAUUGACGUUACCCGCAGAAGAAGCACCGGCUAACUCCGUG
rnacentral:rRNA from 1 species